UCGCUGCUACCGAUUGAAUGGCUUAGUGAGCUCCAGAGACUGGCGCAAUUGGUUGGGUUUCCUUCCUUUUGCGCUAGGAACUGGAUCAAACUUGAUCAUUUAGAGGAAGCAA
rnacentral:rRNA from 1 species